rnacentral:rRNA from 1 species
GAUGAACGCUGGCGGCGUGCCUAACACACGCAAGUCGAACGAAGCACCUUACCUGAUUCUUCGGAUGAAAGUUUGGUGACUGAGUGGCGGACGGGUGAGUAACGCGUGGGUAACCUGCCCUGUACAGGGGGAUAACAGCUGGAAACGGCUGCUAAUACCGCAUAAGCGCACGAGGAGACAUCUCCUUGUGUGAAAAACUCCGGUGGUACAGGAUGGGCCCGCGUCUGAUUAGCUGGUUGGCAGGGUAACGGCCUACCAAGGCAACGAUCAGUAGCCGGUAUGAGAGGAUGAACGGCCACAUUGGAACUGAGACACGGUCCAAACUCCUACGGGAGGCAGCAGUGGGGAAUAUUGCACAAUGGGGGAAACCCUGAUGCAGCAACGCCGCGUGAGUGAAGAAGUAUUUCGGUAUGUAAAGCUCUAUCAGCAGGGAAGAUAAUGACGGUACCUGACUAAGAAGCUCCGGCUAAAUACGUG